AGGACGAACGCUGGCGGCAUGCCUAACACAUGCAAGUCGAACGGAGUAUCAGGGGCUUGCUCUUGACACUUAGUGGCGAACGGGUGAGUAACGCGUGAGCAACCUGCCUUCAAAACCGGGAUAACACAGAGAAAUUUGUGCUAAUACCGGAUAAGACCACAGUGUCGCAUGACACAGUGGUAAAAACUCAGGUGAUUGAAGAGGGGCUCGCGACCCAUUAGCUUGUUGGCGGGAUAACAGCCCACCAAGGCGACGAUGGGUAGCCGACUUGAGAGAGUGAUCGGCCACACUGGAACUGAGACACGGUCCAGACUCCUACGGGAGGCAGCAGUGGGGAAUAUUGGGCAAUGGAGGAAACUCUUACCCAAGCAAUGCCGCGUGAGUGAAGAAGGUCGUAAGAUUGUAAAGCUCUUUAAUUGGGGACGAAGACAGUGACGGUACCCAAAGAAUAAGCCCCGGCUAACUACGUGCCAGCAGCAGC
rnacentral:rRNA from 1 species